rnacentral:rRNA from 1 species
AACGUAGGAGGCAAGCGUUAUCCGGAUUUACUGGGCGUAAAGCGCGUGCAGGUGGUUCGGUAAGUUGGAUGUGAAAGCUCCUGGCUCAACUGGGAGAGGUCGUUCAAUACUACCGGACUCGAGAGUGGUAGAGGGAGGUGGAAUUCCCGGUGUAGUGGUGAAAUGCGUAGAUAUCGGGAGGAACACCAGUGGCGAAAGCGGCCUCCUGGACCAUUUCUGACACUCAGACGCGAAAGCUAGGGUAGCAAACGGG